AUACAUGCAGUCGAGCGAGCUGAAUCAAAGAUCCUUCGGGAUGAUUUGUUAGACGCUAGCGGCGGAUGGGUGAGUAACACGUGGGCAAUCUGCCCUAAAGACUGGGAUACCACUUGGAAACAGGUGCUAAUACCGGAUAACAACAUGAAUCGCAUGAUUCAAGUUUGAAAGGCGGCGCAAGCUGUCACUUUAGGAUGAGCCCGCGGCGCAUUAGCUAGUUGGUGGGGUAAAGGCCUACCAAGGCAAUGAUGCGUAGCCGAGUUGAGAGGCUGAUCGGCCACAUUGGGACUGAGACACGGCCCAAACUCCUACGGGAGGCAGCAGUAGGGAAUCUUCCACAAUGGACGCAAGUCUGAUGGAGCAACGCCGCGUGAGUGAAGAAGGUUUUCGGAUCGUAAAGCUCUGUUGUUGGUGAAGAAGGAUAGAGGCAGUAACUGGUCUUUAUUUGACGGUAAUCAACCAGAAAGUCACGGCUAACUACGUGCCAGCAGCCGCGGUAAUACGUAGGUGGCAAGCGUUGUCCGGAUUUAUUGGGCGUAAAGCGAGCGCAGGCGGAAUGAUAAGUCUGAUGUGAAAGCCCACGGCUCAACCGUGGAACUGCAUCGGAAACUGUCAUUCUUGAGUGCAGAAGAGGAGAGUGGAAUUCCAUGUGUAGCGGUGGAAUGCGUAGAUAUAUGGAAGAACACCAGUGGCGAAGGCGGCUCUCUGGUCUGCAACUGACGCUGAGGCCCGAAAGCAUGGGUAGCGAACAGGAUUAGAUACCCUGGUAGUCCAUGCCGUAAACGAUGAGCGCUAGGUGUUGGGGACUUUCCGGUCCUCAGUGCCGCAGCAAACGCAUUAAGCGCUC
rnacentral:rRNA from 1 species